rnacentral:rRNA from 1 species
GACGAACGCUGGCGGCGUGCUUAACACAUGCAAGUCGAGCGAUGAAGCACCUUCGGGUGUGAAUUAGCGGCGAACGGGUNAGGAACACGUGAAGAAUCUGCCUUCAACUCUGGGAUAACUCCGGGAAACCGGGGCUAAUACCGGAUAUGAGCCUUGAUCGCAUGAUCGGGGCUGGAAAGUUUUUCGGUUGAAGAUGACUUCGCGGCCUAUCAGCUUGUUGGUGAGGUAAUGGCUCACCAAGGCGACGACGGGUAGCCGGCCUGAGAGGGCGACCGGCCACACUGGGACUGAGACACGGCCCAGACUCCUACGGGAGGCAGCAGUGGGGAAUAUUGGGCAAUGGAGGAAACUCUGACCCAGCGACGCCGCGUGAGGGAUGAAGGCCUUCGGGUUGUAAACCUCUUUCAGUAGGGAAGAAGCGAAAGUGACGG